GGCUCUGACAGCAAUCCCCGUUUCUGACCUCCCCGAGCUCCCACACAACUGCCAGAUACUAAAUGCCAAGCUAUAGCCUCGGAGAUGCCUUAAAAUUAGAGGUUCGAGUGUGAUGAUGUUUGGAGAUUUCCAGGGAGCCAGCUGGAGGUGCAGAAGUGAUGGAAAACUCUCACAGUUUUAGGAGGUCCAGGCUGAUAGCAGCAGUCAAGGCCCAGUGUGCCAGGUCCCAUCCUGGUAGCCCAGAGGAAUGGCCGAGGAGUUGUGGUAUACCCUGAGAUGACGGUGUCGGCCUCCAAGCAGGCCUGAGGUGUGUGGCCUGAGCAUUCUGAGCAGAAUGACCAAGAGAGAACAGCCUGGGGACAACUGGAACUUCCCAGACAGGCAGGAGGCCUCCCCUGAUGGGGAUUUGCAUCCCCAGAUGUGUGCAAGAUGCAGAAAGUUCAAAUCAGUGGCAGAGAGCCCCAGUCCUGGGUGAGGGUGUUGCCAUGAGCAGGAGGUCCAGGCAGAUAGCAGCAGUCAAGGCCCAGUGUGCCAGGGAAUCCCCUCGCAUUAUGCGUAGCCCCUGUUGCCAGCGGGCCGAUGGACUGGGUUUCCUGCGCCUGUGAUCCCUCUGGCAGUGUUUCAGGACUCUGUGAUGAAGCCUUGAAAUUUUGUAUUUCAAGAUGGUAUCCGAGUAGCCUUUGGCAGACCCUGCGAUGACAGUGGCAGCCUCUGGGCGUGGCCAAAGUCUGUGGCCCGAGCAACCGGGCAUUCUUAGGAGAAUGCUGGGCAAGGGACCACAGCCUGGUGACCAUAGGACAUUCCCAGCAGAUGAGGCAGCCUCCAUUCGCACGCAACAUGGAUUCUCAUCCCCAUAUGUCUGAGAGAUAAGUCGAGGGCUAAGGCCCACAGAGGGGACGAAAGUGAGGUGGUGGGAGGGUCUUUUGAAUCAGCUCUGGGGGCGGGGAUGUGCAGGAAGUGUCCCUUUAGGCCACCUAAAGGGAAAAUGUUUCUUUUGAUCACAGUGCUGAGUUGUGCAGGGCAGAGCAGUUCUGGUGUGUGUCCUGUCACUUGUCUCUGGUGCACUCUGUGUUCUUUGGGUCUCUGAGUCCUUUCUUCUUGUCGAAAACUCUUGCUCCCUGUUCUGUCCUCUCGAUUGUCAUGUCCUGUCCUGUGUCACGGGUGUCUGCACAUAUUUGUCCCGGAGCUGCUGUGUCCUGCUGCAUAGCCUGUAAUAGCACAAGUCCUGGGGACUUGAAAUUUGUAAUGCAGGGUGUAGUUGGGCUUUAGCUUGUAUUCGUUGAUUGUCAUAGCAUUUUUGGUGCUGUUAAGUUGUCCUGCAGCCGUUUUACACUAGUCUGAAGUUCCUUUCAGAUGCAGACAGUUCAAAUCAGUUGCAGAGAGACCUAGUCCUGGGUGAGGGUGUUGCCAUGCGCAGGUCAGUCAUUGUUUGCAUUUGCAGGGGAAGCCUAAAUGGUGACUUUGUUACAGCAGUCUUUAUUCUUAGGAGGUCCAGGCAGAUAGCAGCAGUCAAGGCCCAUUGUCCAAGGGGAGCAGUGGACAGAAGCAGUUGUUUUUACUCAGCUUUCAGUUUCUGGUGCAAUUCUAAGCAUCCUUUCUCAUUUUUGUGCUUUAGGGAAUCUACUCGGAGUACUCAUACCUCCAUCACCAACUGGACAACGGACCGGUGCCAGGAGCGUGGCUUCUCGUUUUCCAGCCUUCCUUGCUGUGGCGGUUUUGAGGAACUUACUGGAUGGUUUUCUUUUGUUCAUAGUUGGUGUAGGAGAACGGCCAUGGUGUGCUUUUUGCUUCUUACGGUUCUUGGUUCAGGUGCUCAUGACAAGGGUUUUUUUUGGGUUGAGUCUUGUGGUUGGAUUUCUUUUUGAUGGGUUCUUAUGUUUUUGAAGGAUGUGUUUUUAAAGGUUUAUAAUGUUUUUUAUGGGUCAUAGCAUGAAGUAGAGGGUAGGUUUUUAAUUCGGUUGUGGAGGCUUUUAUUGGCGUGAGUAUGUAGUGGUUUAUUUUGGUUGGUUUGAGGUAGUGUCCUGUAGUUUAUUAUUGAGGUUUUUUUAAUAUUGAUAAUUGCAUUCUUGUUUAUUAUGUUGUAGGGGUUUUAUUUGUUUGUCUUGUUUGAUUGCUUUGUGUGUUUAAUGUCUCAGACAAUUUGGGAGUUAUUAUUUAUGGUUACUUUUCUCUUUUGGUGACAUGUUUAUUUCUAGGUGGUAUUUGUGUUUUGAUGGUUUAAGGCAUUCUGAGGUCCUUGAGUUAGGAAUUAUUAUUUUGUUGUUGUGAAUAUAUUUUUUUUGUAGUUGGAUAUAUUUGUUGUUUUUUAUUAGUUUGAUUUUUGGGAACAUGGGUAUUUCUAUGGUGGAUCUUUAUAGGCAGUUAUUUUAUUUGGGUGGUGAGUUUUUUGUUUCUUCAUGGUUUCGAUUUUUUUAUAUCUGUAAUUAUUUGGGGGGAGUUUAGUUAAUUUUAUAGAGUAUUGGGUUCUCUUGAUGAGUUAGUGUAGUGGUAGGGUAUUGUUUGGUUUUUUUUAAGAAACAUUUGGGAUCUGUUUUAUGGUUUGUAGUAUAAGAGGUUAGUUGAAGAGUUUUUUUCUUUUUAGUGUUUUUUUUGUUUUGUGUGGGUUUUUAUAGGUGUUUUUUUUUUUUAAUUAAUGUUCCAUUUUUGUUAUGUGAUAAGAGCUGUUAGUGAAAGGAGUGUAGUGGGGUUUUUUUUGCUGGUAGUUGGUUGGCUGGUGGAGCCUUUCUGAAUUUUUUGGAUGGUAUUCUUGGUUAUUCAAUGCUGUUUGUUUUGGCAUUUUAUUUUUAGGAAUUGGAUUAGAACUGCAAAGUUCUAACUGUAACUCUAAUGAAACAAAACAAAUGCAUAAAUAUGAAAAUGGGAAUAUAAAACUUCAAUUUUAAAUAUAAACGGAAAGCAUAUAAAUAAAACAUGUAACA
rnacentral:lncRNA from 1 species